rnacentral:rRNA from 1 species
CAGCCGCCACGGUAAUACGUAGGGUCCGAGCGUUGUCCGGAAUUACUGGGCGUAAAGAGCUCGUAGGUGGUUUGUCGCGUUGUUCGUGAAAACUCACAACUCAAUUGUGGGCGUGCGGGCGAUACUGGCAGACUGGAGUACUGCAGGGGAGACUGGAAUUCCUGGUGUAGCGGUGGAAUGCGCAGAUAUCAGGAGGAACACCGGUGGCGAAGGCGGGUCUCUGGGCAGUAACUGACGCUGAGGAGCGAAAGCGUGGGGAGCGAACAGGACUAGAUACCCCAGUAGUCCCUGUCUCUUAUAC